rnacentral:rRNA from 1 species
GACAGAGGGUGCAAACGUUGUUCGGAAUUACUGGGCGUAAAGCGAGUGUAGGCGGUCUGCUAAGUCGGGUGUGAAAGCCCCGGGCUCAACCCGGGAAGUGCACUCGAAACUGGCAGGCUAGAGUAUCGGAGAGGUUGGUGGAAUUCUCGGUGUAGAGGUGAAAUUCGUAGAUAUCGAGAGGAACACCGGUGGCGAAGGCGGCCAACUGGACGAAUACUGACGCUGAGACUCGAAAGCGUGGGUAGCAAACAGG